rnacentral:rRNA from 1 species
CAGUCGUACCUGCGGGUAAUCAGCCUUCUGGGCAUGAUUCUGUGGAGCGUGAGGAGUUAAACGCCUUCAUGCCUGCAUAUUCGUGUACUUUGGGUGUACUUGCCUGUGUGGUUAGUUAACAUCAAUUUUGGUUAUCAUAAAAUGGUUGGAGGAAUGUAGCUUCGAUCUCGUAUUGAAGUGUUAUAGCCUUUGGUAGAUGUGAUUAUCGGGAUUGAGGAACUCAGCACGCCGCGAGGCCGGGUUCGACCACGUUCGUGCUUAGGAUGCUGGCAUAAUGGCUUUAAGCGACCCGUCUU